ensembl:lncRNA
AUUGUUACAGGUUGUUUAUUGAUUGUGUCAACACGAGAAUUCUGAGCUUUUCAGUUACGGCUUAUCCCCUUUUUAGGGAUUUCUUAAUCACCAGAAUCUCACAGGAUGAUGCUUUCAAACAACAAGAUGAGGUCCCCUCUGGAGGGCUGUGGGAAGGAUCUGUCAGGGCUCCUCCCAGACCCUUUAGAGUAAUUUGGUGGAUACCAAGCUAAAUGAAACCCUUCCUGGUAGAUGGAAACAGAAAAAGAAGGAAGCAAAUGUCCUGGUUGUAACCAAUCAGAGGAGCAGAAAUGGAAAUAGAAAAAGAAGGAAGCAAAUAUUCUGGUUGUAACCAAUCAGAGGAGCAGAAAUGAUCCCUAGGAGAAAGGGAGAGAGAUUUGGGGAGACCAAGUUGCAAUUUAAAAUACUUCAUUAACCAACUCAUUUUAAAGCUGAACAUUCUCUCAUAUACAUUUCCCUAAUUGUUAAGAGCACUCACUUAAAAUUGUUAAAGUGUAGCAUAUAUACAGAAACUUGCAUGGAUCUUUUUUUGGUGUGUAUCUUUGUG